rnacentral:rRNA from 1 species
GACGAGGGGUCCAAGCGUUGUUCGGAAUCAUUGGGCGUAAAGCGGGUGUAGGUGGAUUUAUAAGUCAGGCGUGAAAGCCCCGAGCUUAACUUGGGAAGUGCUUUUGAUACUGCAAAUCUUGAAUGUGGGAGAGGAUCGUGGAAUUCCAGGUGUAGUGGUGAAAUACGUAGAUAUCUGGAGGAACACCGGUGGCGAAGGCGGCGAUCUGGCCCAACAUUGACACUGAGACCCGAAAGCGUGGGGAUCAAACGGG